CUCCUCCAGGAACACACCCCACACCAACCGGAACUCCCACCACCGGAACUUCACCAACCAACGUGAACUCUUCAGGAGUCCCUGGGAGAGCUCAACCGGAACUCCGCGAGAACUCAAAAGUUAUCAUCUUAAUGGCUUGCUGGCGUCCCCCCUCAACCACUACUUCUGGCAAAAAUGCCAUGCGUCAUCCCAACUGGGCUGUGGCCCUCAACACACUUCCAGGAACAGAGAAUGUGGGCCAUCUCAGGAAUGGACAUGCUUUUGGGUCUUUUUUUAAAGGAGACUCUGUAAACAGUAAAUGUGAGAAGGUAGAUGCUGGACUUGAUGUGGUCAGAGACAAGAUCACUAGGCCUGUCUGUCAAAAGAGGUAGAUGUACCAAAUGUGAAGGGAGAAGUCUAUAUGCAGUUUGCUGGACUGGCUCUGCAGGAUUCCAGAAGUGAUGUUUGGAGACACUGAGUGACUUGACUAAGUCAUAGACCUAGAAUGUGGAAAGUUUCACUCCAGGGACCACAGUGUACAAAAGAAAUUUGUGCACCUUAUGAAAUUUUUCUUGAUUUUGGAGAUAGGCCUCACCAAUGUUUUGGACUCCCUUGUCUCCUUCUAUUCAGUCAUCAGCAGCUUUGGGCAAGAAAUAACUGCAGCAAGACCCAGGUACUCAGCCCUACAACAGCUGUAAAGACCCCGUCCCAGAACUAAAGAGAUCCCUGUGAAGAGCUCGAUCAGACCCUCAGUGGGUGUCUGGUGUUGAAGAUUCUCCCAGAAGGUCCCUGUCACUGUGAUUUGAUACCAGAUGCCACCUGAUAGACACACUGGCCCAAUGGAGCAGAGAAAGGGCUGCAAGGUGUUCGAAGAAGAAAAGGGAGCCCAGGCGAGGCCCAGGUAGGACUCUAGUGUUCUUUGGGACAACUGGAAAACCUGCAUGUCCCCUGGGCAUGGACAUUUGGGGAGAGGGGCUUGGCAAGAGCCUAUCAGAUUAACAGACCAAGUGACAGAGAAAGGAACAGGGUUUCACAGCUAGGUGGGCGAGGUGUGCUGUACCCAGCACCUGCCCAGAUCUACACUGAGCUCCAGCAGGGAGGAGUCUCAGAGAUGUCAAUCUUGAUGCAGCAUCCAUGCUGUGGCUGGGGAGGACACCAAGGUGAGCCAAAUAACUUCAAGUCUGUUUCAAAAGAAUUCUGUUUUUUUUUUUAAUUGAAGUAAUAGCUUUGGGUUUUUGUAAAAAUCAUAAACACCUAUUGUAAAAAAAUGCAGAAAACCACUCCCCCGCCCCCCUCCACUCUGUGACCACCCCAGAACUUCCUGCUCCCUGGAUUACACAUAUCUGUCAGAGUGUGGACACACUCCUGGCUCCACGUGCUCCAUUCAUGGUGCUCUGUGACCUGCAUUUUCAUGUAUCAUUUGCUGUGAA